AGCGAUUCAGAAGAGACGGAGGAUGAACAGCCAAAGACUUCCAAACCUAGAAGAUCUGAACCUACCAAGCAGAAAGCAACCCCAGAAAAUCCGUCAACAAAGCGGCGAAGAAUAAACCCCGAGCUUGAUGCGUGUGAGUUAAUCCUGACGGAGCUCGUGCGGAAUGAGGACAGCUGGCCGUUCCUACAACCCGUCAACACGAAGGAGGUGACUGACUACCCCGAACUCGUAUCAGAACCGAUGGAUCUCGGCACUAUUAAAGAUAACCUGACGUUGAUGCGAUACGAGGAGGCGGAGGCCUUUGUGCAACACGUGAGACUCGUAUUCAUCAACUGUGACAAGUACAACCACAUCACUACGGAGGUAGGCCUGACCGGGGAAAGACUGAGUAAGGUGUUCGAUCAGCUACUGAAGGAACAUUUACCCAGACUUGUCACGCCAGCAGCGAAACCCGCUUGUAGACCGUCACGAAGGUCACGAAAAUGACCACAUCCGUCACACCAAGACCGUCAUGAAUGUCACGAAAAUGACAACAUCCGUCACACCAAGACCGUCACGAAGGUCAUGAAAAUGACCACAUCCGUUACACCAAGUGACUGUUACAAAGGUCUGGCAAAUGACCACAUCCGUCACACUAAGACCGUCAUGAAUGUCACGCAAAUGACCACAUCCGUUACACCAAGACCGUCACGAAGGUCACGCAAAUGACCACACCAAGACCGUCAUGAAUGUCACGCUAAUGACCAAAUUAUACAAGCCAAGAGCAUCACGAAGGUUACGCAACUGACCACAAAUCAAGGAUUAAGAUUUUGCACUAUUUGCCGCAUCUCUUUGUAGGUCUUUGGCGUAUGCCUUACAAAAGUCGCCGUGCAGUCUUUUACAAUACGUAACCGUUUGAUUUUUGUUUAAGAUGAUACCACUUCCGAACUUAUCACAAAAGUCAUGAAUUCAAAAAACAAAUACAUAGGAUAAAAUCUAAAUUCGCCGCUACACUAGUAGUUAUUAAAGUAUUGUUAUCAUUGUUGGAUCAUAGUCUUGAUUUUCUCGUGGCCCGUGAAAUUAAGACAUCUCGCCCAGGAAUCAUCUCGUUCGGUUAAACGCAAUUGCAAUUAUUGAGUGUAUUUUAUUUUUUAUCUGGAUUUGUAAAGUAAUAAAACAGUUCUAUUACUA